AAGUCAGCCGCACCCUGCUUCCACCACACCACACCGGCUGAUAACAGGACGACGCCUCUUCACGACUCCCUCCUGCAGCCCUCUGUUGCUAUCCCAGUCUCUUUCCGCCAGACAUAUAUAAAGGUUGUGACGCGGGCCACAGGUGACUUAAGGCAAGAUGACUUGGAGGCGACUCGUCCUGCUGAUGGUAGUUGUGACGGUGGCAGUCACGGAUGCCCAAAGAGAUCCAUGCUUACGCCCCUGCCCAGCCAUCUGGGCCCCGGUGUGUGGCAGUGACGGUGUGACCUACGGUAGUGACUGUGGUCUCAAGGCUGCUGCCUGCAGGGACAACAGCAUCACUAAGAGCUACGAGGGGGAGUGUACUUAACACGUUAUGGAGCACGGACCAACACCCUCGUGGCCAGCCGUCAACACACAGCUCCUCCAAGGAUUGCUGGCACUAGAGCCUGGCGUUUCCUGUGUUCGAAUUUGAUCUUUGUUAUAGUCAUGCGUCUAUAGCAAGUGCCUUGCGAGUUUAAUAGCUUCUUCAGUAUGUUACACGCGAUUUUGGAACCUUGGGAUAUGCAUAAUUCGACGAUAAAAACAAACCUAACUUAAUGAACUUAACCUUGACUUAUUUUUAAGUUGGGUUAAGUUUGCCUGGUUUAUGUCGUACGCUGUAACCCCCGGGGCAAUCCAACAAUGCGCAGAUUUAAUCUUUUAUUACCCAAAAUUUUCCACCAUCUGUACAUUAGGUUUAAAUGUUUAAUAUUUGGGAAUUUUGAUAGUUUUUAUCCAUUUAAGUGUUCAAUAAAUAUAAUAAAGACGAAAGUUAAGGUG